rnacentral:rRNA from 1 species
GUAGGGAAUAUUGGACAAUGGGUGAGAGCCUGAUCCAGCCAUGCCGCGUGCAGGAAGAAGGCCUUCUGGGUUGUAAACUGCUUUUAUCUGGGGAUAAAAAGGCCUUGCGAGGCAAACUGAAGGUACCAGAUGAAUAAGCCACGGCUAACUACGUGCCAGCAGCCGCGGUAAUACGUAGGUGGCAAGCGUUGUCCGGAUUUAUUGGGUUUAAAGGGUGCGUAGGCGGUUUAUUAAGUCAGUGGUGAAAGACGAUAGCUUAACUAUCGAGGUGCCAUUGAUACUGAUGAACUUGAGUGCACACGAGGUAAGCGGAAUGGACGGUGUAGCGGUGAAAUGCAUAGAUAUCGUCCAGAACACCGAUAGUGAAGACAGCUUACCAGAGUGCAACUGACGCUGAGGCACGAAAGUGUGGGGAUCAAACAGGAUUAGAUACCCCAGUAGUCC